rnacentral:rRNA from 1 species
GACGAACGCUGGCGGCGUGCUUAACACAUGCAAGUCGAACGGAAAGGCCCUGCUUUUGUGGGGUGCGCGAGUGGCGAACGGGUGAGUAACACGUGAGUAACCUGCCCUUGACUUUGGGAUAACUUCAGGAAACUGGGGCUAAUACCGGAUAGGAGCUCCUGCUGCAUGGUGGGGGUUGGAAAGUUUCGGCGGUUGGGGAUGGACUCGCGGCUUAUCAGCUUGUUGGUGGGGUAGUGGCUUACCAAGGCUUUGACGGGUAGCCGGCCUGAGAGGGUGACCGGCCACAUUGGGACUGAGAUACGGCCCGGACUCCUACGGGAGGCAGCAGUGGGGAAUAUUGCACAAUGGGCGGAAGCCUGAUGCAGCAACGCCGCGUGCGGGAUGACGGCCUUCGGGUUGUAAACCGCUUUCGCCUGUGACGAAGCGUGAGUGACGGUAAUGGGUAAAGAAGCACCGGCUAACUACGUG